GUGCCAGCAGCCGCGGUAAUACGAAGGGUGCAAGCGUUAGUCGGAAUUACUGGGCGUAAAGCGUGCGUAGGUGGUUCGUUAAGUCUGCUGUGAAAGCCCUGGGCUCAACCUGGGAAUGGCGGUGGAAACUGGCGAGCUAGAGUGCGGUAGAGGAUGGUGGAAUUCCCGGUGUAGCGGUGAAAUGCGUAGAGAUCGGGAGGAACAUCAAUGGCGAAGGCAGCCAUCUGGGCCAGCACUGACGCUGAGGCACGAAAGCGUGGGGAGCAAACAGGAUUAGAAACCCGAGUAGUCC
rnacentral:rRNA from 1 species